AUGUGUUCAUAUUUUGAUUUAACAUCUCUAAUUGUUGUAGGCACGGAUUCAUCUGGUUCCAUGAUGAGGCCACCGUGUGCUAACCAAGAAGACAUGCCGCACAAGUGGGAGAACACAUCUUUGGACAAGGUGAAGGAGAAAGAUGUGAAGAUUCCGCCGUGUUGGUGUGGAGAUGUUUGCAAGGUGAAAUUGUCCACCGACCGAAAGAAGUCAUGGACGAAAGGAAGGAGAUAUUUUGUAUGCCCCAACUAUGCUUAUGAUCGUGCGCUUCCACCUAACGCAUAUGACCAACCACCGAUAUGUUAG
rnacentral:rRNA from 1 species